rnacentral:rRNA from 1 species
GACGAACGCUGGCGGCGUGCCUAAUACAUGCAAGUAGAACGCUGAAGGAGGAGCUUGCUUCUCCGGAUGAGUUGCGAACGGGUGAGUAACGCGUAGGUAACCUGCCUGGUAGCGGGGGAUAACUAUUGGAAACGAUAGCUAAUACCGCAUAAUAGCAGUUAUUGCAUGAUAACUGUUUGAAAGGUGCAAUUGCACCACUACCAGAUGGACCUGCGUUGUAUUAGCUAGUUGGUGGGGUAACGGCUCACCAAGGCGACGAUACAUAGCCGACCUGAGAGGGUGAUCGGCCACACUGGGACUGAGACACGGCCCAGACUCCUACGGGAGGCAGCAGUAGGGAAUCUUCGGCAAUGGACGGAAGUCUGACCGAGCAACGCCGCGUGAGUGAAGAAGGUUUUCGGAUCGUAAAGCUCUGUUGUAAGAGAAAGAAACGAGUGUGAGAGUGGAAAGUCCACACU